GCACAACGCGAAGAACCUUACCUACUCUUGACAUCCAGAGAACUUUCCAGAGAUGGAUUGGUGCCUUCGGGAACGUCUGAGACAGGUGCUGCAUGGCUGUCGUCAGCUCGUGUGUGAAUGUUGGGUUAAGUCCCGCAACGAGCGCAACCCUUAUCCUUUGUUGCCAGCGGUUAGGCCGGGAACUCAAAGGAGACUGCCAGUGAUAAACUGGAGGAAGGUGGGGAUGACGUCAAGUCAUCAUGGCCCUUACGAGUAGGGCUACACACGUGCUACAAUGGCGCAUACAAAGAGAAGCGACCUCGCGAGAGCAAGCGGACCUCAUAAAGUGCGUCGUAGUCCGGAUUGGAGUCUGCAACUCGACUCCAUGAAGUCGGAAUCGCUAGUAAUCGUAGAUCAGAAUGCUACGGUGAAUACG
rnacentral:rRNA from 1 species